GACGAAGGGGGCUAGCGUUGUUCGGAAUUACUGGGCGUAAAGCGCGUGUAGGCGGUUAUCCAAGUCAGGUGUGAAAGCCUUGAGCUCAACUCAAGAAAUGCACUUGGUACUGGGUGACUAGAGGACCGGAGAGGAUAGUGGAAUUCCCAGUGUAGUGGUGAAAUACGUAGAGAUUGGGAAGAACACCAGUGGCGAAGGCGGCUAUCUGGACGGUUUCUGACGCUAAGACGCGAAAGCGU
rnacentral:rRNA from 1 species